rnacentral:rRNA from 1 species
UACGUAGGGUCCAAGCGUUAUCCGGGAUUACUGGGCGUAAAGAGUUGCGUAGGUGGCAUAGUAAGUAGAUAGUGAAAGCGUGUGGCUCAACCAUACAUCCAUUAUCUAAACUGCUAAGCUUGAGAAUGAGAGAGGUAGAUGGAAUUCCCGAUGUAGGGGUAAUAUCCGUAGAUAUCAGGAGGAACACCGAUGGCGUAAGCAGUCUACUGGCUCAUUUCUGACACUAAGGCACGAAAGCGUGGGAGCAAACAGG